GCCCUCGUAGCUCAAUGGAUAGAGCAAAUCCGUCCUAAGGAUGAGAUGUGGGUCCGAUUCCUGCCGAGGGCA
rnacentral:tRNA from 1 species